rnacentral:rRNA from 2 species
UUGAAUGGCCGCGGUAUUUUGACCGUGCUAAGGUAGCAUAAUCAUUAGUUUUUUAAUUGAAAGCUGGAAUGAAGGGUUGGAUGAGAAAAAAACUGUCUCCGUUUAAAUUAUAGAAUUUUAUUUUUAAGUUAAAAAGCUUAAAUAUUUUUAAAAGACGAGAAGACCCUAUAGAGUUUUAUAAUAUUAUUUAUUUUAAUAUUUAGUAUUUAAAUUUAAAAAUAUAUAAAUUAUUUGAUUGGGGUGAUUGAAAAAUUAAAAUAACUUUUUUUAUAUGCAUAUAUAUAUUUAUAGAUACUUGAUCCAUUAAUAAUGAUUAAAAGAAUAAAUUACCUUAGGGAUAACAGCGUAAUUUUAUUGGAGAGUU